UUUGGGCCUUAUUCCGGGUCGGAGCUUUGCCAGACCGGAUCCCUCUAGCUCUAGAACCCGCCAUUAGGGUUUGGAGCUGAGUGCGGAUGAAAAUGCUCGAGCCGAUGAUGCUCGAAUCCGAAAGAGUCUCACUCCCGUCCCUCUCGGCCAAACCAGAACUGCGCAAUGGCGUUUCGUAUCAGUGAAGGGACACGGCAAGGUUCGUCCUUGACUUCUCUUCUCAGCUCUUGUACUUGCUCGUGAGUAUCGGUGAAGAAGACGAUGGCGUGUAGUUCCUCAGUUGAUUGGAGAGUCGCUGACGAUGGUUUGGAAUGAUUUGUUGAGUUUCAAUUGAUUCAGGGUUCGUGCUUGAUGGAACCGUGUCCUGACUUGGAUGUAUCAGUCCGUAGAAUUUCCAUUUCCCUGAUCCUGAAGGAAAAGCUCUGAUUUUUCGCUUGCGUGAUUGCCAUUGCGAUGCUGUGAUUGAUGUUUGAAUCUCUAAUCCCUCAAAUGUCAUCUUUACAGCGAGUUGGUUUUAUUCUAAUUGGUGUCAAUCUCGUGUCUGAGGAUGACGAUAUCUAGUAUUACCAUCCAACUUCGUUUCUUGUUGAAAUGUUUCUUGUCCAUUGCAACAGAGGAUUGGAUGGUCAAAUUUUCUGAUGAUGUAAUAGUGGUUGUCCUGUUAUUUGUGAUAGCAUCUACUUUUAUUUUUUCCCUUUGGUGUCACUACAUUGCCUUGGGAAUUUCGUAGAAAUGCUUACAUGAACAGCGGGAGUUUGUCAGGCUUCCUGCUGUGCACACAAUGGCUUGGAGUUUGGAAUAAUCUCCCACAUAAUGAUCAGACACUUAUCUCUGUCCAUUGCUUGCGCUGUUUCAGCUAGAACCCGUUUGAUAGUGAUAGGCUGUCUUUACACCCCGUGAUUUGUAACGUGAGACUAUUUGUCUGUUCUUGUUUUCUCAUUGUCCCCUCCACUCUCUUCACUGCUUUCAUACUAAAUUAGCAUUGCAAUCUGAGCAUUUCUUUUGGGCACCCUUUUCUUUGUUGUGGUCAUGGGGGCUUUGAUUGCAAUGCUCAUAUGCUACCAGUGGGAGCCUGUCUGGCUUCUUGUGCUAAUCCAAGUACUUGGAGUUUGGAAUGUGCUCCUACAUUUUGAAUUAUUCCCCAUUGAAUUAAGCGGAUUUUCAGUGUUACAUGCUAUUGUAUUUUUUUUCGUAGGUUGCCUGCUGUGUGUGUAAUGUUUGAUAUACACAAAUUGGCCUGGAUACACAUUUGAAUUCAAAAAAAAAAAAAACUUGUUGAAAAACUUUCCACAAUCUUUGUAUAUGUAUGAAAUGGAGUCAUGUCACAUUAGGUGAUGGCCUUAAACAAACUUUUUAAGAUGAAGGGAGACAUAUAAAGGCAUUUCUAUUAAAUUUUCUGCUCAUUUACCUCUCUUCCUCGUGAAUACAGGGAUCAAAUGUUGACCCUAUGGUGCUUGCUGCAAUUUACUGAUGUUCAUUGGCGAGGCUGAAUAGUGAAACGGCAUAAUGUAAGGUAUAUCUGAGAGCUCCAAUGAUGCCUUCAUUUUUCACCCACAUCCUAUAAUUGUGGUGACUCCUCUUUUGCCGGGCUAUACGUGUGUAAACCUCCAUCCUCAGCUUCCCAAAUGGUUGCUAGGAGUACAUCCUUCUUAGACAGGUCAUGAUUCUGGUGCCAUGACGGAUGACGCAGUUUCUUGUGGGUUCCAUCCGUUGUCAACUACCACCAUCUCCAACAGAGAUCUUGAAGAUUCCAGUUUGGUUAAGGACCAAGACACCCACUCAACCAAUCAGUAGUGUGGUGAAGCGAUCCCAAGGCAUGACUGAAAUUUACUCGUGUUCGAACGUUUCUUUUGUGGGAAAUGCUUGAUGAAGCUUAGCGAAUUUCUCGGGGCUAUGAAUUGUCACGAGAUGGGGGCUUCUGUAUCAAGCGCUUGUUAAUGUUCAAUUUAGAUAGAACUGUUUUGAGUGUUUUGGUGAUCAAUUUGUAUGGUUGUGGUGUUAAACACGAUUUUUGAGUGAUAGGGUAGAAUGUUAUUGGCUCCUCCGCUCAGAAGGGAUUAGAAAGUCCAUCGUUGCUUUCUUUUGAAGGGUAAUGUUAACAGAGGGUCAUGACUUUGUGAUAA